GUGAUGAAUGUAUUGAUUGCAUAAUGGCUUAUUAAAGUUUGAUACAUUAACACAAUAUUUUAUAAAGUCUAUAAAAAAAAAUAAACACUAAUAAUAAUUAAGCCACAAGUUUUAUUAAGAAAAAUCAUAAACAUCAAAAUAAAAAAAAGAUGUGUUUUAAGUUAUAAUGCAGGAGAACAAUACCGUUUCUAUGAGGUUAAUGGUUUUAUUUAAUUUAUCUGCCAUCCAUUGCAUGAUAACAAUUUCAUUGUGACCACACGUCACUCACAUUCUGCUUAUGCAGUUUACCAAAAAUGAAGCAUUGUACCUCUAUUGUGGUUUCGGAAACACUUAUUACCGAGGGUACUUCAUUUGCGUAUUGCGACUUCGGUGACUCCGUUGGGAGUAGGGACAAGCGUUGUACACAAUUAUGUUCGCAGGAGUGUUGCGACAGCUGUCUGCCCGGUGCCUCUUUUUGGCCUCAAAAUUGGCCGUCAUUGCUCUGUUAUAGGUGGCCGAGGUUGCUUUGAAAAUAGUUGAAUUCAUACUCAGGGCGGUUCCUGGUCGAAUAUAUUCAGAUACGGUUACAGGACGCGACUGUAAAGUGACGAUAACAGGUCACGAGGGCACAGCGUUAACACGUCUCGAAGGCUAUAAAACUACAAUGGCGGGUUCAAGAAAAAUCGAGAAGUUGGUUGGAAGAGAACGGGUUUUUGUGGCAGACCAGGAGAGACUGUUUUAUGGGGACCACGGACAUUGUUUUGCAGGACUUGGUUAAGGUUCCGCACGCCGAAUUCUUAAACUCGAGGACAACGUGGAGUUUGCAGCUAGUGGUGAUAUUUUGUGGUAGAGAAGGAACUAUUAUGUAUUAUUAUGACUGAAUUAAUUUGACGAGGCGAGUUACUGCCGAGACGGGUUUGCGGCUCACUGACUCAUAAGACAGACAAACUGUACUAUUGUGGAAAGAAAGCCGACUAUAGAGAUAGAUCGGUUGACCACCGAAAUUAUCGUUUAUUUCUACUUUGGCUGCUAAAAACUGAUAAUCCGUUUAGUUGUUGCAUUUUUAGAUCCAUCGUGUCGUUAUUAUAAUACACGAAAUGGUACAGUUCACGGUUUAGUUGUUCGAAGAACGUCAAAGCGAUUUCCGCUAUUUAUGGUUCAGGCAAAUCCAUUACGACGAUUUUAGCACAAACGCCGUGAAAAUCGUCUUGUAAUUCUGUGACUGUAGAACACAUAUGGAUACAAUAAAUCUUAUUCAAAUGACUGAUUCUUAAUGAGAAAAAAAGAUUUUAAUAUAGCGAAGGAUAAUAUGUCAGAACAGAACACAAAUUGGUAAUAAAUAUAAAAUUAGGUGAUGUAUUGUUUAAGAACAAUUUGUUUGUUUUUGUUUGUGUUGAGUUUUUAUAAGACUGUCUUAAGUCAUUUUGGAGAUGAUAUAUUUUGAAUAAAAACGCUUUAUAAUAAUAUUUUAAUUAAUUUUAAUUUAAAGUUGGUAGACAUUUAUUUAAGGAGGCAUAAAUGUACGACAGUUCACAAAUUCACUCACCUGACUCAUGUUGAAGUAGGUAAUUCAUUUUUUUUAAACUAAACAUUUCCUAAAAUAAAAAAAAAAAAAAAAAACAGAUGUAAAUAUUUUUUUAUGUAGUAUUCAAUCAUAUUUGACAUUUUUAUCAGAGCAGAUGAAAUAAGUAUUUCAUUUUUUUUUAAAUGUAAAUUGUACCUAUACAAGUUAACGACCAGUUUAAAAUGUUAUUUUAAUAUCAUUUAAAAAUUAGUUUGAAGAAAAUAUUUUUAUCUAUUUCCUGGAACUCAAAAAAAUACGUUUGCACUCUGAAAUUAGUAAGGUGUCCAAGGCGUUUACUCAGAUGACACAUAUGUUUUAUAAUUUAUAAUAAUAGGUAUUAUGUUUAUUGCAUUGUACGCGAGUAUAAUGCGUCGUGUGUGUGUGAUAGAGCCAUUAGAUCAUCAAGAGAGCCGCCUUUGGUGGAAAAUGAUUGAUGAACGUGUAGGUAUACGCUCGCGUUUUACCAUUUAUAUGGUCUAUCGUCACGAAGAUCAUCGUCCGACGAAUUCGCAAACGUCUGAAAAUCUGUCAUCCAGUUGGUGUUAUAUCUAUACGACAACCAGCAAAAUGACUUUGCAUCGUUUUGAAUGACUUUUGCGAGUAUACCCAUUACUCACCUACAUAAUAUACACACAUGCUAUGGUUAUAAUACGACGUGGUUUUUGGCAAUUAAACGCGCUGUAAACAUUGGUAUAG